GUACUUUCUGCUGAAUAGAAUUUCUUUCUUUAAAAGAGUUGUCUUUUGCAUGGAUCUUCUUCUUGCUGCUUUGUGCAAGAAGUUACAUUCCCUUCCAAUUAUCUUCACUUAGAAAAUCCCGAUCUAUGAAAGACUUGCAUUUAUUUCAUUGCUUUUGCCUUCAGUUGCAGUAUUGCAGGUUGGAUUUCCUGAGAGGUUACAUCAUGAGAAAGAAACCUUUCAACCCUUUCAUGCUGCAGCAGAAUUUAACUCGAUGUAUUUCUUCCCAUGCAGCCAGAAACACAUUUCUGAGUGCACUAACCCUGUGUUGAAAGGCUACUGCCUGCCAGCUCUGAAAACUAAGUCUCGCUAUAGCAGCUUAGGCUUCUUGCCACAAUCUUGCCUUGAAGGAUUCACUUCAAGAAGCGCUGUUUUGUCACCGCAUCACUGAGCAUAAUAUUGAUGAGUUUUUGCCUCUCUGCUAGAACCUACCAGAUUCAAAUUGGGUUAGAUUUUGAAGGCAGCUGUAUCCAAAUCCUGAGAAGCAUUGAGGUGGAGGGCUAGAUACUUCAAUGACACUGAGGACCUGUGGCCUUCUGUUCUGGGAGCUAUGCUGAAAACACUGGCUGACAAAUUUCACGUACGUUCUUUUGAAUAGCUGUCCAAUGGUAGCAUUAUUGACUGUUAUUGUUAAAGAGAAACACAGACAAUGAAUGCUCUACUGAGAUAGGUAUUUGAAUGAUUUUAAUGAAUUAUGCAGGCUUUUUUUUAAUGUAGGUGAUCAUCUGGCAAAGGUUAGGUUGAGCCCAUCACUCAUUCACUUGUGACCUGUCAAGCACAUUAAAAUACAAACAUCUACCAGUAAGAAGCUGACGCCUUAGACUACAGCAGCUCUUCACAGCAUACUAUGAAGUUCCCAAAUGAAAUAACAGGUCAUUUCCAAUAAUGACCAUGCAAUCAAACGAUCAAGUAUAAUUAAAACAAGAGAUUUAUCAUUUUUGCCUGCGUCUGCACUCCUGCUUAAACAUUGUCUGCAUGCCACUAUGUAAUUAAGCACCUAACUGCCAAACUCUCUUUCUGACUCCAGCAUUUCACUCUUUAUCUCUCACUCUCACCCAUCCUGACUUGCAUGUUAAUAUCAGAUUGGAAAAUGGCAGAGAACCAGUGUCUGCUCUCACAGAAAUCAGUGGCAAAACUCCCACUGGCUCAAAAGCUUACUUCCCCAUACAUACAUGCUUACCUGCUCAUAGCUUUGUGGUAAAGAGAACUACUUUCUUUAAAAUUCAAUUAUGUCUAACUUCAAGAAAACAAAAAGGCAAUCAUUAGAAAGUCUUUGUUGCAUCUCAGCACGUGCUAUUCUCUUUAAUAAAAGAUUAAGAUCCAUUAACCCA
rnacentral:lncRNA from 1 species